rnacentral:rRNA from 1 species
AACGAACGCUGGCGGCAUGCCUAACACAUGCCAGUCGAACGAGACCUUCGGGUCUAGUGGCGCACGGGUGCGUAACGCGUGGGAACCUGCCCUUAGGUUCGGAAUAACUCCCCGGAAGGGGUGCUAAUACCGGAUAAUGUCUUCGGACCAAAGAUUUAUCGCCUUUGGAUGGGCCCGCGUUGGAUUAGCUAGUUGGUAGGGUAAAAGCCUACCAAGGCGACGAUCCAUAGCUGGUCUGAGAGGAUGAUCAGCCACACUGGGACUGAGACACGGCCCAGACUCCUACGGGAGGCAGCAGUGGGGAAUAUUGGACAAUGGGCGAAAGCCUGAUCCAGCAAUGCCGCGUGAGUGAUGAAGGCCUUAGGGUUGUAAAGCUCUUUUACCCGGGAUGAUAAUGACAGUACCGGGAGAAUAAGCUCCGGCUAACUCCGUG